UCAAAAGUGAAAGUAAAAAACUCUCAGACAAAGGCAUUUCUUUUAAUCGCUGCUUCGUUUUUGCGACUUUUAUAAAAUAAAAAUACUCCAGACAAAUGCGAGGCUGACUGCAGAUCAGUCGUUCUGGGUCUGAGUUACUAAAUAAUUCCCAUCGCGUGGCGGAAAAAUCAGCCUGCAGUUUGAAGGGCACGAUGGACGGACGGAUGAUUGAUUUGUUUGUGAUGCUUCUUCUUUCUAUGUGCAGAGCUGCUCCUGUUUCAGAGAGCUUUACAGUUUUGGUUGGGUCUCCUGUGUCAGUACAACGUGGUGCUACAGCCACAUUACCCUGCUGGCUCAGUCCAUCACAAAGUGCAGAGAAUCUGGAGGUACGCUGGUAUCGUGGCAACUAUGAUACUCCUAUUAUAAGUUACAAGGGAAAAAUGUUUGAUGAUGGAUCCCAGGAACCUUCAUAUGCUGGCAGAGUCUCAUUUGACUUAAAGGAAGCAACGUCAGGUGGGCUGAAGGCCGGUGAUGUGAGUCUGAAGCUGGUAAAUGUCACAGUUAAAGAUGAAGGGGAUUACACCUGUUAUGUCAGCAGCCUCCACGGAUAUGACAGCUCCACCAUGAGCCUCCGUGUGAUGGAAACAGGAGGACCUCCUCUUCUGUCUGCAGUGUGGAAAGAAGAAAACACGGCGAAUGUGAGCUGUGAAUCUGAAGGCUGGUAUCCACGUCCUGAUCUGCGCUGGUCUGACAAGACAAAAGAUCUGAAACCUGUUGGUUUGGUGUACAGCAACGUCUCUGGUCAUUUCUCAGUCCACAGCUGGCUUCUUGUCUCUGGGUCCUCUGAGGUCUCCUGCUCUGUAGGUCUCUCUAACAUCGUGACAAAGGAGGCUAGAAUACGCACAAUAAAACCUCCAGAUAAAGUGUCAGGAGUCCCUGUCGGAUGGGUCGCUUUUGGGAUAGUCCUCAUAAUCUUAUUGGUUGGACUGGCAGCAUUUUUCUAUAAAAUGAAAGGGAAGAAAUCUGCUGAACCCACUGAAGAAAAUGUAGCACUUUUACCAGAAGAAGUGGUGCAGCCAUCCGCUCUAGAAACAGCUUCCAAGCAUUACGAAAAUAUUAAACUCGAGAACACAAAUAAUAAAUACCUCAAAGUCAAAGACACUAUACUGAGAGACGCCCCGGUUGAAACGUUUCCAGAUGGACAGAGUGUUACCUGUCUCACAGCAAUCAGAGGAACACCGGGAUUCUCUGGAGGGAAACACUAUUGGGAAGUUUCUUUGGGAAAUGAAAACAUUGAACCAAAGAAGUCCUGGUGGAUAGGAGUUACCACUGCCACUGAAAUCCCUCAGGAAUCUGAUUUCUGUCCAAACACAUCCAAUGGUUUCUGGUUUCUGUCUUCUUCUCCUAACACUGCUAAUACUUUACAGUUUAGCACAAAGCCAGAAAUAUUUCUGUCUGUUCAGUCAAGACCAAGAACAGUUGGUGUGUAUUUGGAUUGUGACAGUGGAGAACUUUCCUUUUACCAUGUAGAAGAUAAAAAUCUAAUUUUAUCUUUGAAGGAUAAAUUCACAAAAGAUGUGUUCCCACUUUUCAACCCUGGGAAAGGCGAUGUUGCAACUAUUACAAUAUUGCACAGGACAAGCGAGUCUGGUGAGGAACAUGAUGUUGUAGAUUCAGUAAUGAACAAUGCUCCUGAAUCUACAGCAUCAGAUCCAGCAGGAAAACAGACUUCUUCUGAGUCUGCUGAUGCUGCAGAUUCAUAAUUAAUAUACCCUCAUUGUGAACCUGCAGCAGCAGUAACAACUGCUAUGCUGCAGGUCAGUGAUGUACUAAUCUAACUAAGCCAAGUGUAAUCAUCAUUUCUCAUUAUUUGUAUUCUAUUUUGAUUUGGAUUUUUAAGGAAACCCAUAAAGUUAUAAUAAUAUUAAUAUAUUUUAAAGUCCCCAUGAAGUAAAAUCUGACACAUGAUCUAUUUCCCACUGGUUGUCGAGUUAUAGACAAACAAAAAAUAUGCAUGACAUACCAUUUCAGGAUGUAUGGUUUUUGCAACUAAUUACAAGAUUUAUUGAAUUAUAGCAGAUCUAGUUAAACUAUUUUUACUAGUAAAACAUAGAAAACAUUUCUUUGGUAGCUAUUUCAUAUGGAUUUUAAUGUAGUUUAUUUUAAACCAGGGAAUUUCAGACAGAUAGCAGAAAACAUGUAUCAGGCUGUUGGACGAUUUGUUGUUCCCCUUUGUGGACAAGAAAACAGCUACAACAGCUGCAUAGUUGUUGUUUUGCUGUCUACUCAGAUGCUUUAAAUAUGUGUGUGUUUACAGCGUCUUUUAGCAUCUUUACAUGUGGCCAAAUCUAAAGUGUCACGAUAAACAGAAAGGUAAAAGAGACUGAAUUAAUGUUGCAGAUCCUGGUGCCCUGACAGAUGAGGGCAGUAAAACAGGCAUUUGGUUCUUUGUAACUUAAAAAAAAAAAAAAAAUGCUGAGACAGGGGAGGGGGCUCUUUAAUUCUCAGACAAAUCUCAUAACUUCUUAGAUUAAACUUUUAAAUGUAUUUCUUGAAAAAAACACUGAUUUACAAGAUAAACAGAUUAGUAAAUGAAAAAUCUUACUCAAAGAUAAGUAAAUUGUUUUAGAAACAUUAAUAACUUGAAUUUUGUGUGUGUUUGCAUUUGGACGCACACACAUUCACAUCCCAAUAACGCUGCAGUAUCUAAGCUAAUAUUUUAUGAAGAUGAGAAGUAAAUUACUUUAAGCAUCAAUGUAUUAAGCUGCCUAAGAGUUGCUCAGCCUGUUGUACUGAUCCAGAUCUGGAUAAAGAAGUGAUCAAGUUCCUUUUCCAAAAGGGGGGGGGGAGGAAAAGUGUAAAUAUAUUCUUGUAUACUGACUAUUUAACUCAGUUUUUUACAUUCUAGUUUGUUUCAUUUACUCUUGGAAAUACAGGCUUGUUCUCUCAAAGUGUGUGGUUGAGUGGUUAACAUGACUAGAAAGGUGCUAUAAGUACUCUAUUUACCAUUUCUAGUACGCUGUCAUAGAAAUGAGUUGAGGUUAUUCCAUGUUGAAUUUAGAGGAACAAGUAAUUAUAACUUUUUUUACAAUUAUUUUGAUAUUUUUAUUUAUUUUCUUGCCGGGAGUUUUUUGAGUUGUGUUUUGUUUAACAAGCCAACAGCUAGUUAGCUUAGCACAAAAACAGGAAAGGUGGAAGCAGGUGGAAACAGCCUCUCUGGUGUGUUGAAAAACCCAAGAUGGAACAGUAGGAAACAGGUUUAUCCCACUGUUAUCGCGCAAUUUAACAAGCAGAACAUUUUAUUAAAGAUACUUGCAGGUGGAAUUUGUAACCCCACCCUAGCUAAACUGUUUUAAAUUGAGUUGAUGUAUCCUAGCAUGUUUAGUGGUUUUGUAUAUGCACUGAUUAUUUUAAUGAAAUGAAAAAUACUUUAAUAAUUCCAGAGGUAAAUUGCAUUUAUGUGUAUUGUAUGCUGCCUUUAAAGGUUUCUUGUACAUUGGUACCAUUGUCGCUUUUUGGAUUUUAUUUUCCUGUCCUUUAAAUUACUCAGUACCACAUUGUUAGAUUAAAAAAACUGUGUGAAACAAAUUCUGCUAAUUUCAUUAAUGUAAUGUGAAUGUAGAGGCCAUGACAACGAAUAGCACUUAAUUGAGUGGGCUUAACUAACAGCAACACUGUUGUUUCUGGUUAUAUGAACUACAUCUGUGGUUUUCUGCUCUGACAAGGCAGACUGUGUACUUAUGAAAAAACACUACAGCAUCAAUCUGAAUAGGAGUAACCUCAUCAUGGUAAUUUAUACCCUUGGUGUAACUUAGAGGAGCAGGAAAACACAAAGAUUUUUGAAUAUUUAUCAGCUUUUUAAGACUGUGGAUAGAUGGUACUCAGUCCUACUCUGUUAUAUAUUCUAUUUUUUAUUUGUAUUGGAUGUGCAUUUAGCAGUUUGUGUAAUUUGUAAACAAAUGUGUGCUUUGACUUGUAUUUUGUCAUUUUAAUAAAAAUACAUAAAUCU